rnacentral:lncRNA from 1 species
UAUGUACAUGCAGACAACUUUACUGAACUUUAUUUUAUUAAAUUUCUAGAAAAAACAAGAACUAUAUUUAAACCAGUUUAAAUUGAAUCAAAAGGAUCUUAUUUCUACAACAAUGAUGUUGAAUACUAGCCAUAGUCGUUGGUAAUUUGAGAUACCAAAAUGGAUUUGUAAAAUCAACCACCGACAAUGACAUAUUUGGGUGAGCAACUUUUAACUUGCAUUCAACAAUGCAAACAAACGCACCUGCGAGAAGUUGGAAUGUUAGAUAUUGGCCCGUAUGCAUAAAAAACAAGCAAUUGAUUUUUCUUAAAAGGUCUGAAAUUUUAAGAAAAAGCAUUUGCUUAGUUUUUAUGCAUACGGCCCAUUGUGUGCUGCUUUGUGUUUCAACUCGCUGAUAUUGAAGCAGGACAUAUUCCAGAUUUUCUGGACCUCGGCCAACAUGUACCAAUCUUUAAAUAUUUCGCCUUAACAACAAUGGGAAGGUCAGGACACAAUUUCUCACUUCCUUCGCUAACCACUUAGAAUCUACGCAUAUUUCUGAUACCAAACUUAGCAUUGAUCAGCGCCGGCUUUUAUUGAUCAUCAUAUAAACACUUGCAGUGCUUAGUGGCCCUGCCCCUAAACGCAUGUGUAAUCAUUUUGAACGCAUACUGGCUAUUUACUCCAAUUACAUAACAGCAUAUUUUAGCAAAUACGUCUGCUGCAAGUGGCACUAAUUCAUCGGCAGCUGCUACACUUGGAUCAGGACGAGAUAUAAUUUGUGCUCAGUCAUUAGUGGCAGCAAUUGAAUGCAGAGUUAAACGCAUCGAACCUUAUUGAACGCUUAAAAGACAACUGAGAUGACUGUAUAAUGAUAAUUGGUAACAAAAGAACUGUAGAUCUGCUGCUAAUGCUGCAGAAUCUAGCCAACAAUCUGGAUGACUUGAUAGAGUAUAGAAAUAUAUUAUGCUUUCUUGAGUUUUUAACAAAAUGUUCAUUUAGUGCUAUAAAGGCGGAUAUUUUCAACGAAAAAUUUAGAUCGCUCACUUGCAACAUCCUAUUGAGGCUUGUAAAAGAUGAAAAGCGGUAUGGUAUAACCGAGCUGGAGGAUUUGGCAGAGCUGGUGAUAAAACUGGAGGGCUUAAUGCAUUUAAUUGCUGCUAACAGCGUGCAUGUCGAGCGUGUGGUCCCAUUUGCGCUUAAAUUUGUCAUUGGUGUAGUGGUAGCCAAUUAACUUGCUACAUUAUAUACGUAGAUUAAAACUCACAUUGAUAACGUUUGUUACGAUUUGAUUGGAAUUUGCGAUCAUCUUGUUGGACGUUUCAUCUUGCGCUGUUCUUACGAAGCCCAUCGACAAGUGUAUGAAUUGUCAGUUAAAGAUCGUAAAACGUACCACAAAUUCAAGGGCAGUGUGAAUAUUAUUACACAUGUACAUUAUACUGCAGCACCAAAAAAAGUUACGGUUAUUUUUUGUGAUGCAGUCUAAUGUACAUAUAAUUGUGAUUAGCUAAUUAAGCCAGCAACGUUUUUAUCAAUUCUGGCUAUAUCUUUUGUUUAUUUGAUGUUUGUUAUUUUUUAAUAAAAGCCUAGCUCAUUACAUAUUAUAAACCAUAUUUAUACCUACUUCCAACUUUGUGCAAAAACGAUAAUGAACCUGCAGUUGCAUCUAAACUCUGAACUUUUUAAAAUAUUUUUUUUUUUUUGAGUAUGCAGUUUUAUAGCCCAUUAAAUUCUAAAUAAUAAAGUGGCUUAAUUAACUGAUCACAAGUAUACAUAUUUUAAACUUGAAACGUACGUUCAGUUUAAAUACUUUUAUCCUAAACUUGACUAAAAUAAAACUGCAUGCCUAAAAAUGUUCUAAAAAUUCAUAUUAAAAAGUUCAAAAUUUUGAUUAAAAUUUUUUUGAUUUUUCUAAGCUGUGUAUACAAUUGAAAGUUUAAUUUAUAAGUUUUUGGUUAACGCUUAGAAUGCAGCUCUCAAGAAAAAUCACAAGAAAUAUUUUUAAUUAUUUCUGUUUAUUGAAAAAACACUUUGCUUUUGCUAUAAAUUCUCUUAGGGAAAUUAAUAUACGAGCGCUUUUUUCUUCAAAGCUGCAAACUGAUUUAAGAAAUUUUGAUAUAAGGAAAUUUCUUUUCCAUUUCUUUUCGUUUUUCUUGAGAGCU